CCUCAGUGAUGUGGCUUCUUCCACGGGAGAGCACUGAACUGUGAGCCACAGUGGCCCCAUCUGGUGGCUGUCCUGCCUACUUCCCAGCCUCGUGAUCUUGGGCAAGUCAAUUCCCAUCUCUGAGCCUCAAUUUCCUCAUCCCUCUCCUGGGCUGUGGUGGAGAUGACAGGGUCCAGUGGUCAGGAAGCAGGCUGACGGCUGCAAAAUGUCCCUGGGAAAUGACAGGACACCCAGAUCUGCUGGGAGCAGAGUUCUCAUAGGGUCCCAGCUGAGCCCUGGAACUCCCCAGACCCCCUCUGCCACUCCAUCUCUGCGUCAGCCCAGCACCUGUGCCCUAUCCGGCUUUGGCCACCAUCUCCACCCUGGGGAGGGGGAGCAUAACCCCCUCCAGCCUGAGGUUGGCGCCAAGGUUUAGGAGCCAGCACAGAAGCCUCUGAGAGCCAUAAGGGUAGAAAAGGUUACCCGGUACUAAACCAGCCAGCCUCGGGGUGAUCUCAUCCACUUCCCAAGAUAAGCCCCCUCCCCCACCCUCUGGCCACUGGCCAACAGGUUAACAGAGAGACUCCCUCACUGGAAGCAACUCAGAGUGGCUGAAGCACAGAAGUGGUAGAGGUAUGAGAUGGGGUUGAAGAGUGGGCAGGGCCAGGUCACACUCAGCCUUGCACAUCAUGAAGGGAUUGUGACAUUUUUCUGACUCCUUGGAAGCAGGGGAGGAUGGUGGGAGGCAGAAAUGGGAGGAUGUCACUGAAAGCUUUUAUUAUUUUUUUUAAUGAUUUGUUUGUUUGUUUGUUUGUUUGUUUUAGAGACAGGUCUCUAUUGCUCAGGCUGGAGUGCAGUGGCAUGAUCAUAGCUCACUGUAACCUCAAACUCCUGGGUUCAAGCGAUCCUUCUGCCUCAGCCUCCCAAGUGGCUGGAACUACAGGGGUGUGCGACCACUCCUGGCUCAUUUUGUUCAACAUUAUUUUGUUACAACAUUGAUGAAGAAAAAAAUCUAUUUCUGGCUGGGGCUACUGUCUGUGUGGAGUCUGUAGAGGACUUUCUCUGGGUACUCUGGUUUCUUCCCCCAUCCCAAAGAUGUGCAUGUUAGAUUAACUAGCUUGUCUGCAUGCUCCCAGUCUGCAUGAGUGUGAGUGUACUCAAGGCAAUGGCAUCCUGUCUAGGCCUGGUUCCCGCCUGGCGCCCUGAGCUGCUGGGAUAGGCUCCAGCCAUCCAUGACCUUGAACUGGAAUAACUGGAUAAAUAAUUCUAUUACUUGUUUUUAUUAAUCUUUCUUUCUUUCUUUUUUUUUUUUUUUUUUGAGAUGGAGUUUCACUCUUGUUGCCCACGCUGGAGUGCAAUGACACAAUCUUGGCUCACUGCAACCUCCGCCUCCUGGAUUCAAGAAAUUCUCCUGCCUCAGCCUCCUGAGCAGCUGGGAUUACAGGUGCCCACCACCAAGCCCGGCUAAUUUUUGUAUUUUUAGGAGAGACAGGGUUUCGCCAUGUUGGCCAGGCUGGUCUCAAAUCCCUGACCUCAGGUGAUCCACCUUCCCCAGCCUCCCAAAGUGCUGGGAUUACAGGUGUGAGCCACCACACCUGGCCUUGUUUCUAUUAGUCUUUCUUACACGUGUUUCAAUGUUUAAUAUGAGAAGCAUUUGGGUCUUUAUUUAGAAGUCUGAUGAUAUUUCUAUCACCAGAAAUAUGCUGUAGGAACUUAACUCUUGUUUAUGUCAAUUAGCCUAUGACAAAAUUGGUUUCCUUGUAUGUCAUUUUGCUUAAAGCUGCAAUUUCCAAGAACUACAUUAAGUGAGGACAUUAUAUAAAGACUUACUAUAUUCUAUUAGUUGUUGUCAGGCCUCUGAGCUCAAGCUAAGCCAUCAUAUCCCUUGUGACCUGCACCUAUACAUCCAGAUGGCCUGGAGCAACUGAAGAUCCAC
rnacentral:lncRNA from 1 species